rnacentral:rRNA from 1 species
AUUGAACGCUGGCGGCAUGCCUUACACAUGCAAGUCGAACGGUAACGGGCCUUCGGGCGCCGCCGAGUGGCGCACGGGUGCGUAAUACAUCGGAACGUGCCCGAUCGUGGGGGAUAACGAGGCGAAAGCUUUGCUAAUACCGCAUACGAUCUACGGAUGAAAGCAGGGGACCGCAAGGCCUUGCGCGGACGGAGCGGCCGAUGGCAGAUUAGGUAGUUGGUGGGAUAAAAGCUUACCAAGCCGACGAUCUGUAGCUGGUCUGAGAGGAUGAUCAGCCACACUGGGACUGAGACACGGCCCAGACUCCUACGGGAGGCAGCAGUGGGGAAUUUUGGACAAUGGGCGCAAGCCUGAUCCAGCCAUGCCGCGUGCAGGAUGAAGGCCUUCGGGUUGUAAACUGCUUUUGUACGGAACGAAAAGCCUUCUUUUAAUACAGGAGGGUCAUGACGGUACCGUAAGAAUAAGCACCGGCUAACUACGUG